rnacentral:rRNA from 1 species
UACGUAGGGUGCGAGCGUUAAUCGGAAUUACUGGGCGUAAAGCGUGCGCAGGCGGUUUUGUAAGCCAGAUGUGAAAUCCCCGGGCUUAACCUGGGAAUGGCAUUUGGGACUGCAAGGCUGGAAUCUGGCAGAGGGGGGUAGAAUUCCACGUGUAGCAGUGAAAUGCGUAGAGAUGUGGAGGAACACCGAUGGCGAAGGCAGCCCCCUGGGUCAAGAUUGACGCUCAUGCACGAAAGCGUGGGGAGCAAACAGG